rnacentral:rRNA from 1 species
AUUGAACGCUGGCGGAAUGCUUUACACAUGCAAGUCGAACGGCAGCACGGGGCAACCUGGUGGCGAGUGGCGAACGGGUGAGUAAUGCAUCGGAACGUGCCAUUGAGUGGGGGGAUAACGUAGCGAAAGUUGCGCUAAUACCGCAUAUUCUGUGAGCAGGAAAGCAGGGGACCGCAAGGCCUUGCGCUCUUUGAGCGGCCGAUGUCAGAUUAGCUAGUUGGUGAGGUAACGGCUUUACCAAGGCGACGAUCUGUAGCGGGUCUGAGAGGAUGAUCCGCCACACUGGAACUGAGACACGGUCCCAGACUCCUACGGGAGGCAGCAGUGGGGGAAUUUUUGGGACAAUGGGCGCAAGCCUGAUCCAGCCAUGCCGCGUGAGUGAGAAGG